rnacentral:lncRNA from 1 species
UAACUUGGUCAUUGCCUCCCAUUAAAGUGCAUGAUAAUGAGUCUAAUAUUCCAAAUAGACAUUGGAUUUGCCACACGCCUGGUGUCUAUUACGUAUUGAAAUUAUCAUUCAUCAUAUGACCAUCAUGAUAUACCUUCAGAUCAAUGCUCAAGUUGGCCAAGCCAUACUCGGGUCUGAACAUCUGUUUGUUGGAUACACUUGAUAUGUCAUGGUAAUGGCUAGACCUAAUCGAGAUUUUUAAUGGAGGUGACAUACGCCUACUGAAAAGAUGCCUGGGGCAAAACUUAUUGCUAGAAGUUGUUUGGAGAAAUAAUUGCUUAUGAACCUACCCAUGGAUGCACU